AACGAACGCUGGCGGCAGGCCUCAAACAUGCAAGUCUAGGGGGUGUAGCAAUACAUCACCGGCGGACGGGUGCGUAACGCGUGGGAAUAUACCUAUUGGUUCGGAACAACUGAGGGAAACUUCAGCUAAUACCGGAUACGUCCUUACGGAGAAAGAUUUAUCGCCAAUAGAUUAGCCCGCGUUCGAUUAGCUAGUUGGUGGGUAACGGCCCACCAAGGCGACGAUCGAUAGCUGUUCUGAGAGGAAGAUCAGCCACACUGGGACUGAGACACGGCCCAGACUCCUACGGGAGGCAGCAGUUGGGAAUCUUGGACAAUGGGGGAAACCCUGAUCCAGCCAUGCCGCGUGAGUGAUGAA
rnacentral:rRNA from 1 species